AUUGAACGCUGGCGGCAGGCUUAACACAUGCAAGUCGAGCGGAGAGAGGUAGCUUGCUACUGAUCUUAGCGGCGGACGGGUGAGUAAUGCUUAGGAAUCUGCCUAUUAGUGGGGGACAACAUUUCGAAAGGAAUGCUAAUACCGCAUACGUCCUACGGGAGAAAGCAGGGGAUCUUCGGACCUUGCGCUAAUAGAUGAGCCUAAGUCGGAUUAGCUAGUUGGUGGGGUAAAGGCCUACCAAGGCGACGAUCUGUAGCGGGUCUGAGAGGAUGAUCCGCCACACUGGGACUGAGACACGGCCCAGACUCCUACGGGAGGCAGCAGUGGGGAAUAUUGGACAAUGGGCGCAAGCCUGAUCCAGCCAUGCCGCGUGUGUAAGAAGGCCUUAUGGUUGUAAAGCACUUUAAGCGAGGAGGAGGCUACUUUAGAUAAUACCUAGAGAUAGUGGACGUUACUCGCAGAAUAAGCACCGGCUAACUCUGUGCCAGCAGCCGCAGUAA
rnacentral:rRNA from 1 species